GCGGACGGGUGAGUAAUGCUUGGGAACUUGCCUUUGCGAGGGGGAUAACAGUUGGAAACGACUGCUAAUACCGCAUAAUGUCUUCGGACCAAACGGGGCUUAGGCUCCGGCGCAAAGAGAGGCCCAAGUGAGAUUAGCUAGUUGGUAAGGUAACGGCUUACCAAGGCGACGAUCUCUAGCUGUUCUGAGAGGAAGAUCAGCCACACUGGGACUGAGACACGGCCCAGACUCCUACGGGAGGCAGCAGUGGGGAAUAUUGCACAAUGGGGGAAACCCUGGUGCAGCCAUGCCGCGUGUGUGAAGGACGCCUUCGGGUUGUAAAGCAGUUU
rnacentral:rRNA from 1 species